CAAAGAGCUCUCGGAUUUCAUCAAAACACCUUAACUCUUAGGGAUUUGGAACGACACAGCGAAGAGAGGGGCGGAGUCAGCAGAGCUCAUUGGCCAUUAAAGCAACAUGGACUGGAAUGGCUUUAUCGAAACAGAGAUGAUUUUAACAUGCCGUUUUUUCUUGUCUGCUUAACUCAGCUCCACACGGUUCAGCCUCACCGCCCCUGAAUGCACAGAUACUUUGGCAUGGCUGGGCAGAAAGCCCUAAAAGGACCAACAGCAAAGAGGGACACAGAAAAAGCCAUUAUUGUCUCGUUUUCCAAAGCUCAGCUCGUAGAAAACAAGGACGGCAGCCACUGGACACCUGGGAGCAGUAAUGAAAACUAUGAAAAGCAGCCAAGAGAUGCAGGUCAGGAGGCUGGUGGCUCUAAUGAGUAUCAGUGAUUACAUUAUACAAGACUGCUCAGAUGAGGGUGGUCCAGCUAUGGUGGCCGUUCCGACUUAAAGAGGCUAUGCCUUAAAGAGACAGUUCGUUCAACAAAGACAGUUUGCUGAAAAUGUGCUCACCAUAAGGCCAUUCAAGAUGUAGACGAGUUUGUUCUUCAUAUAGCAUAUUUGAGCAGAACUUGCUCAACAGUGGAUCCUCUGCAAGUGAAUGGGUGCCGUCAGCUGUGUUUCAUGUGUUUCUCAGCCGUAAAUGAUGUGCAUCUAUAUAUAUUUCUCUCCUCAUUCAAAUGUAAUAUAACGGAACCUUAUGAAACAUAGAGCACUCAUAUUUUAGCUUUUUGCUUCAGUUGAUGGACUGGAGUGGCGUGGAGUACUAGUGGAUUACUGUUAUGCUUUCAUCAGCUGUUUGAACUCUCAUUCUGACGGCACCCAUUCACUGCACAAUGCAACUCAAUUCCUCCAAAUCUGUUCUCAUGUUCUACAUCAUCCAUUUUUCGCAAAUUUUCAUUUGAACUAUUGUUUUAAAGGGAUCAUUUUCUGAUGGUCUUCUGCAGAACUCAAAAUGUAUAUUUAAUGAUUUAAUGUUUUUGUUAUGCAAUUAGUCAAUGAGACAAUGGAGUGAAAAAACCCCACUGAUUUCACUUGGAUAUUUUACAAUAUCUUUGUCCAACAUUCUUUCUAAUAACCUCAGUGAUAAGCUUCCACUGGCAGCAGUGGCUGCAUGCACGUACUUCACGGAGCACGAACAACAUGCACGUCUCCUUUAUAUUUAGUAAGGAAGUAUUUCUGUUUCCUGGGAAUGAGGUGCCUUUUUCCACUGUUCCAGACCCAGUUUCAUUUACUCAAACCUAAACUUGUGUAUAUUUUAAGAGGCAGUGUAAACCUGUUCUCUGAUUGCUCCAAAGGGUGACCUCACACAAACUGUUCUUUCCCAUGGUCCAGGCAGCCCUCUGGUUCUGCUCAGAUUCCUGAUGGUGCCCUUCCAGUCCUCAUUUCUAUGUUAGUUCAACACCAGAUUUUCCUGGGACGUUUCUUUGAGCUGUUUUUCUAGCUGUAGUUCGUCUCUGAAGAGAUCUGACAGUGGCAUACCGUAUAAUAUGGUCAUGUGCCGAGACUAAAGUGGUUAGGAUUCUCAUUUGAAAUCCUUUGAGGUAUUAUCAAGAAAUAUAUCAAGAAACUGGUGUUAAUGUGCAGGUUAUGCCCUUUCUUUGAAAAUAGGUGUUUGUACUGAUCGCAUUAAAAUGACCCGGUGUUCAUUAAAUUUCCAUUUGUUUUGAAAU